UGUUAAGUAUGGUAAAAAUCUCCAUCUUAGGGAGAAAAGGACAGUGAGCAUUGCUGCCUUCCCUCCUGUUCUCCUUUACCCACAGGUUUCCUCCCCCAACUUAAGAGUAUGCAUUAGGAAACAGAGGAGGGACAGUUUUCAUGGGAGAAAUGGGAAGAAGGAAGACUGGAAGAAUGUGUGCACAUACGGGGAUAGGAGAAAGAAUUUUGGAGCCCAGAGUAGCUUCUAUUGAUUGUAGCUCUUUGACCUGGAUGUUUAAAAAGGAAUGAAGAGCAAUUACAGUACCAGAGUCACCUGAUAACCCACAGAGAUAUAAAGUUUCCAUGAGGGUACAGUAGUAUGAGUUAUAAUGAAGUUUUGGAACCCAACUGUCAAUCACUUUGAAAGUAUGGUUACAUGCGUUAAUGGUGAGCAUGAUACCAUGAGUUUUGCUUUAGAUAAAUUAUUUCGCUUCCUAUGGAGAUCAAAAUGGUAACUUUAUUUUUAUUACUCCCUGAUAAAUGGUGCAUUUAGUCUGAACACAAGGUUUCAGAAUGAUAUAACAACUGUUAAAAAAA